rnacentral:rRNA from 1 species
AUACGGAGGAUGCGAGCGUUAUCCGGAUUCAUUGGGUUUAAAGGGUGCGUAGGCGGAAUAAUAAGUCAGGGGUGAAAGUCUGCGGCUCAACCGUAAAAUUGCCUUUGAUACUGUUAUUCUUGAGUACACGCGAGGUAUGCGGAAUGUGAUGUGUAGCGGUGAAAUGCUUAGAUAUAUCACAGAACACCGAUUGCGAAGGCAGCAUACUAGAGUGUCACUGACGCUGAUGCACGGAAGCGUGGGUAUCGAACAGGAUUAGAAACCCCAGUAGUCC